UGACGAGCGGCGGACGGGUGAGUAAUGCUUGGGAACAUGCCUUGAGGUGGGGGACAACAGUUGGAAACGACUGCUAAUACCGCAUAAUGUCUACGGACCAAAGGGGGCUUCGGCUCUCGCCUUUAGAUUGGCCCAAGUGGGAUUAGCUAGUUGGUGAGGUAAUGGCUCACCAAGGCGACGAUCCCUAGCUGGUUUGAGAGGAUGAUCAGCCACACUGGGACUGAGACACGGCCCAGACUCCUACGGGAGGCAGCAGUGGGGAAUAUUGCACAAUGGGCGCAAGCCUGAUGCAGCCAUGCCGCGUGUGUGAAGAAGGCCUUCGGGUUGUAAAGCACUUUCAGUCAGGAGGAAAGGUUAGUAGUUAAUACCUGCUAGCUGUGACGUUACUGACAGAAGAAGCACCGGCUAACUCCGUGCCAGCAGCCGCGGUAAUACGGAGGG
rnacentral:rRNA from 1 species